UACGUAGGGUGCAAGCGUUGUCCGGAAUUAUUGGGCGUAAAGAGCUCGUAGGCGGUCUGUUGCGUCGGCUGUGAAAACCCGAGGCUCAACCUCGGGCCUGCAGUCGAUACGGGCAAACUAGAGUGUUGCAGGGGAGACUGGAAUUCCUGGUGUAGCGGUGAAAUGCGCAGAUAUCAGGAGGAACACCGGUGGCGAAGGCGGGUCUCUGGGCCGAUAUUGACGCUGAGGAGCGAAAGCGUGGGGAGCGAACAGG
rnacentral:rRNA from 1 species